rnacentral:rRNA from 1 species
AUUGAACGCUGGCGGCAGGCCUAACACAUGCAAGUCGAACGGUAACAGGAAGCAGCUUGCUGCUUCGCUGACGAGUGGCGGACGGGUGAGUAAUGUCUGGGAAGCUGCCUGAUGGAGGGGGAUAACUACUGGAAACGGUAGCUAAUACCGCAUAAUGUCGCAAGACCAAAGAGGGGGACCUUCGGGCCUCUUGCCCUCGGAUGUGCCCAGAUGGGAUUAGCUUGUUGGUGGGGUAACGGCUCACCAAGGCGACGAUCCCUAGCUGGUCUGAGAGGAUGACCAGCCACACUGGAACUGAGACACGGUCCAGACUCCUACGGGAGGCAGCAGUGGGGAAUAUUGCACAAUGGGCGCAAGCCUGAUGCAGCCAUGCCGCGUGUAUGAAGAAGGCCUUCGGGUUGUAAAGUACUUUAAGCGGGGAGGAAGGGAGUAAAGUUAAUACCUUGGCUCAUUGACGUUACCCGCAGAAGAAGCACCGGCUAACUCCGUG